rnacentral:rRNA from 1 species
UACGUAGGGGGCAAGCGUUGUCCGGAAUCAUUGGGCGUAAAGAGCGCGUAGGCGGCCCAGUAAGUCCGCUCUGAAAGUCAGAGGCUCAACCUCUGAAUGCGGGUGGAUACUGCUGGGCUAGAGUCCGGAAGAGGCGAGUGGAAUUCCUGGUGUAGCGGUGAAAUGCGCAGAUAUCAGGAGGAACACCGAUGGCGAAGGCAGCUCGCUGGGACGGUACUGACGCUGAGACGCGAAAGCGUGGGGAGCGAACAGG